rnacentral:rRNA from 1 species
UGUCUCAGUUCGGAUUGGAGUCUGCAACCCGACUCCAUGAAGCUGGAUUCGCUAGUAAUCGCGCAUCAGCCACGGCGCGGUGAAUACGUUCCCGGGCCUUGUACACACCGCCCGUCAAGCCAUGGAAGCCGGGGGUGCCUGAAGUGCGCUGCCGCAAGGAGCGUCCUAGGGUAAAACCGGUGACUGGGGCUAAGUCGUAACAAGGUACC